GCAAUCGACCAUAGGCUGUGUUCCAACAGGGCUUCCCGUCCGCUCAGCCGUACUUAAGCCACAGGCCGGUAGGUUAGUAGUCAAGUGGGUGACCAUUGGCGAAUACCUGCUGUUGAUUGUU
rfam:Exophiala xenobiotica strain CBS 118157 unplaced genomic scaffold supercont1.1, whole genome shotgun sequence.